rnacentral:rRNA from 1 species
CCUACGGGUGGCAGCAGUGAGGAAUAUUGGUCAAUGGACGAGAGUCUGAACCAGCCAAGUAGCGUGAAGGAUGACUGCCCUAUGGGUUGUAAACUUCUUUUAUAUGGGAAUAAAAUGUUCCACGUGUGGGAUUUUGUAUGUAACAUAUGAAUAAGGAUCGGCUAACUCCGUGCCAGCAGCCGCGGUAAUACGGAGGAUCCGAGCGUUAUCCGGAUUUAUUGGGUUUAAAGGGAGCGUAGGUGGAUUGUUAAGUCAGUUGUGAAAGUUUGCGGCUCAACCGUAAAAUUGCAGUUGAAUCUGGCAGUCUUGAGUACAGUAGAGGUGGGCGGAAUUCGUGGUGUAGCGGUGAAAUGCUUAGAUAUCACGAAGAACUCCGAUUGCGAAGGCAGUUCACUGGACUGCAACUGACACUGAGGCUCGAAAGUGUGGGUAUCAAACAGGAUUAGAUACCCCUGUAGUC